UCCAUUGAGGUGGCCAGCGCUGCGGGAACCAUCUCUACCAGAGUAACAGGAACACCGGAGCUGGCUUUCACACAAAAAACAAAAACAAAACACAAAAGAACAACUUCUGAAAUGGAGUGGCCUACAUGUACCAGGGCUCAGUGUGACUCAAAUUAAAGGGACACUUCUUCAAUCGGUCUUUUGAGUAUCAAAGACCAAUCUCCCGCUGACUUGAAAGGCAACAGUCGGAAGACAAGAGAGAUAACCUUCAACUGUAGGACUUCAAAGCACCUGACAGAUGUGGAUAACAGUAUGCGCAGUUGCUGCCAGUGAGUAGGCAGGCUUGCAGACUGCGUCGUUGCCUCUUCAGGAAGACCUUUGCUUUUCAACGAAGAGAACAAAAGUGUGUGUGUGUGUGUGUGUGUGUGCGUGAGAAAUAAAACGACGGAACACACUCCUACGUGUGUGACGCGCUGUACAGACCUGCACU